UACAGAGACUGCAAGCGUUAUUCGGAUUCACUGGGCGUAAAGGGUGCGUAGGCGGUCUUCUAAGUUUGAUGUGAAAUCCCGGGGCUCAACCCUGGAAUUGCAUUGAAUACUGGAGGACUAGAGUACCGGAGAGGAAACUGGAAUUUACGGUGUAGCAGUGAAAUGCGUAGAGAUCGUAAGGAAGACCAGUGGCGAAGGCGAGUUUCUGGACGGUAACUGACGCUGAGGCACGAAGGCCAGGGGAGCAAACGGU
rnacentral:rRNA from 1 species